rnacentral:rRNA from 1 species
CUACGGAGGGUGCAAGCGUUACUCGGAAUCACUGGGCGUAAAGCGCGCGCAGGCGGCUAUUUAAGUUGGAUGGGAAAGCCUACGGCUCAACCGUAGAACUGCAUCCAAAACUAUUUAGCUAGAGUGUGGGAGAGGAAGAUGGAAUUAGUUGUGUAGGGGUAAAAUCCGUAGAGAUAACUAGGAAUACCAAAAGCGAAGGCAAUCUUCUGGAACACUACUGACGCUGAGGCGCGAAAGCGUGGGGAGCAAACAGGAUUAGAUACCCUAGUAGUCC